rnacentral:rRNA from 2 species
UUAGGUUAAGUUAUGAAGGGCGCAUGGUGAAUGCCUUGGUACUAGGAGCCGAUGAAGGACGGGACUAACACCGAUAUGCUUCGGGGAGCGGUAAGUACGCUUUGAUCCGGAGAUUUCCGAAUGGGGCAACCCAAUCAGCUUAGUCGCUGAUUACUUGACUAGUGAAUACAUAGCUAGCAAGAGGUAGACGCAGUGAACUGAAACAUCUUAGUAGCUGCAGGAAGAGAAAGAAACAUCGAUUCCCUGAGUAGCGGCGAGCGAAAAGGGAAGAGCCCAAACCAACAAGCUUGCUUGUUGGGGUUGUAGGACUGAACAUUAGAGUUACCAAAGUGCGACGUAGUCGCAACAGUUGGGAAGCUGUGCCAUAGAGGGUGAAAGCCCCGUAGACGAAACGUCACACUCUCUGUUCAGGAUCCUGAGUACGGCGGGACACGUGAAACCCCGUCGGAACCCGCGAGGACCAUCUCGCAAGGCUAAAUACUCCCUAGUGACCGAUAGUGAACCAGUACCGUGAGGGAAAGGUGAAAAGCACCCCGGAAGGGGAGUGAAAUAGUUCCUGAAACCAUGUGCCUACAAGCUGUCGGAGCCCGUUAAUGGGUGACGGCGUGCCUCUUGCAGAAUGAACCGGCGAGUUACGAUUGCAUGCAAGGUUAAGGUGGAAAAACCGGAGCCGUAGCGAAAGCGAGUCUUAAAUGGGCGUAAGAAGUAUGUAGUUGUAGACCCGAAACCAGGUGACCUACCCAUGUCCAGGUUGAAGGUGCGGUAAAGCGCACUGGAGGACCGAACCCGUGUCAGUUGAAAAUGGCUGGGAUGAGGUGUGGGUAGCGGUGAAAUUCCAAACGAACUUGGAGAUAGCUGGUUCUCUCCGAAAUCUCUUUAGGGGGAGCCUUGAGGUAAAGAAUCGUGGAGGUAGAGCUACUGUUUGGACAAGGGGCCCGUCAUGGGUUACCAACUUCAGAUAAACUCCGAAUGCCAUCGAUUUAUACUCAGGAGUCAGACGAUGAGUGAUAAGAUCCACCGUCGAAAGGGGAACAGCCCAGAUCACCAGUUAAGGUCCCUAAAUAUAUGCUAAGUGGAAAAGGAUGUGGAGUUGCAUAGACAACUAGGAUGUUGGCUUAGAAGCAGCCACCAUUUAAAGAGUGCGUAAUAGCUCACUAGUCGAGUGAUCCUGCGCCGAAAAUGUACCGGGGCUAAGCAUAUUACCGAAACUGUGGAUGUGCACUAUGUGCACGUGAUAGGAGAGCGUUCUAAGGGCGGCGAAGUCAGACCGUGAGGACUGGUGGAGCGCUUAGAAGUGAGAAUGCCGGUAUGAGUAGCGAAAGACAGGUGAGAAUCCUGUCCACCGAAUGACUAAGGUUUCCUGGGGAAGGCUCGUCCUCCCAGGGUAAGUCGGGACCUAAGCCGAGGCCGAGAGGCGUAGGCGAUGGAUAACAGGUUGAGAUUCCUGUACCAGUUAACUGCGUUUGACGAUGGAGGGACGCAGGAGGCUAAGCAAACCGUACGACUGGAAGAGUACGGCCAAGCAGUAAGUCAGGAUGUGAGUCAAAUGUUUACAUCCGCGUUGACAAGCUGUGAUGGGGAGCGAAAUUAAAGUAGCGAAGUUGCCGAUGUCACACUGCCGAGAAAAGCUUCUAAGGAGUAGUUAACUGCCCGUACCGCAAACCGACACAGGUAGUCGAGGAGAGAAUCCUAAGGUGAGCGAGAGAACUCUCGUUAAGGAACUCGGCAAAAUGACCCCGUAACUUCGGGAGAAGGGGUGCUGGCCGCAAGGCCAGCCGCAGUGAAUAGGCCCAGGCGACUGUUUAUCAAAAACACAGGUUUCUGCAAAAUCGUAAGAUGAAGUAUAGGGGCUGACGCCUGCCCGGUG